rnacentral:tRNA from 1 species
UCGCGGGUGUGGCCGGUGACGGCGCCGCUGCCGGUGACAGCGGCGCGGAGAUCGUCGCGCUGCCCGCGGGC